GCUUGAUGUUGGAUAGGAGAUAAAGACCCAGGAGUAGAUGAGAUGGACUGAGACUGAGAAGUAGAUACUUGUGUAUCAGAGGCUAGAGAUGAUGGAUCCUGAGAAUUAAGAGAAGCUUGAGAAGGCCUUGAAGGCAAAGAAACAAUGAUAGGAGCUACUGAUGCAGUAGAAGAAAACUGAGAAGACUGCUGACAUAUGCCAGGGUUAAUUUGCUUAAAAGGAAAUACAGCUUCAUCAUGAAGAACAUGCCUUGAGAUUACACAUUUUGCAGUAAUUCGAUUGUAGCAAAUAACUCCUUUGUAACCAGGUGAAUAUCCCAAGAACACGCACUGAGUGGUUCGCGGUUGUAACUUAUGCACAUUAUAAUGUCUUAGAUACGGAUAUACUGCAGUACCAAAUAUUCUCAAAGAAGCAAGAUCAGGAUGAUGACCAAAUAAACGAAAAUAAGGAGAUUGAUGAUGUAAAACAGAGCUGGGCGUUCGAUUUAUAAGAUACACAGCAUGGGCAGCAGAAUGAAACCAAAAUUGACCUGGCAAGGCUGCUGUAGUUAACAGGGUAAUGGCUGUGUCAACAAUAUGCCUAUUCUUCCGCUCUGCCAGUCCAUUUUGCUGCGGAGUAUACGGACAAGACAAACGACGCACAAUACCCUUGGAAGCCAAAAAAUCUGUAAAAACCUUGCUAAGAAAUUCACCACCACCAUCACUCUGAAAACACUUAAUAGCAGCACUGAAUUGAUUUUGUAUCAAAGCAUGAAACUGUAGGAAUUUGGAGAAAACUUCGGAUUUAUUGAAAAAGGGAUAAACCCACAAGUAUCCAGUACAUUCGUCAAGGAAGGAAACAAAAUAUCUGUAACCUUCAACAGAUUUGUAAUGGGAAGGACCCCAUACAUCACUAUGAACAGUAUGAAAAGGAAUUUCAGACCUAUUAUGUCUAACAGGAAAUGGGAGUCGAUGCAUCUUCCCUUGAAGACAAGCUGAACACAAGGGAUUCAAAUUGGAAGAAUCAUUUGCACAUUGCAAACCAG
rnacentral:lncRNA from 1 species